AAUAAAGAGAGAAAUAAGAAAAAAAAGAAAGACGGUGAUGAGUUGAGAAUGAGAGCGAUUUAUACCGAGGGGCUCGAGCAAACCCUAAUUUUCAUUGAUUUAAUUGUAAAGGGACGAGAGGAGGAGAAUUUCGAGCGUUACCGGAGUGAUUGGAGCUGUGGAGGUUGAGGAAUUUCAAUGAAAAGUCGGGUUAAGUCUGAAUUUCGAACAGUCUUAACAGGCUUCAGUGUUUUGAAGUUAUCGAGCUGUAGAAACCAAAUUUGAAGCUGAAAUUUUGAGGAAGACCGAGACUACACAGAAUUUCGGGCGAACAGAGAAACGUGACUUUUGGAGCUGAUUCGGUGUUAUUCAAGCGUUUUCAAAGCUUCAAAUUCUCAGAUUGACAUGAAAAAUUUAGUAAGUAGCAGCGAGGAUGAUAGAAAUAUGAUCCCACAAAAACAUUGCAGAAUAAGUAUUCCACAUGGCCCAACUACAAUGUCUAAGUUGGCACAAAUAAGAACAUCUGGGCAACAGUUGAUUAUUGAUUAUAAUGAACAUGGACAAUCGAUUGGAUUUAGAGCAAAGAAGAUGCAAAGUUAUAUAGGAGUUUGUGUUUGACAACAAAUACAUAUAACAUAUAAUUUUUGGAAAAAAGUUCCAAACCAUUUAAAAGACUAAAAUUUUAAUUCAUGUGCAUAGUAGUUUAUUAGUUUAUUGUUUAACUACUUUUUUCAUUAUGUAGAUGUCAUUUGAUGUGGACUCUAAGUCCAAACAUUGUAUACUCAUGUCUACAUUUAGGAAGUUUCGGACUUUCAAGACAACAUUGACUCAAAAGUUCAUACUUCUAUUUAAGGAUGAACCAUCGGUCUUGCAAUUUCCUCCCCAACAAUAUUCUCAUAUAGAGCAAGAUCAGUGGACAUCGUUCGUCCAUGAACGAUUGAGUGAAGAAUGGGUUGUAAGUCAUUCACAAUAAAUUAAAUGUCAACAUUAUCAUUGUUUUGAUGGGUAACUUCAACUAGAUUUGUUGUACAGGAAAUCAGUCGUCUUCAAAAAGAAAGACGUGCGAAAUGUGUAUAUAAUCAUCAUAUACUAGAUAC